rnacentral:rRNA from 1 species
UACGUAGGGGGCGAGCGUUGUCCGGAGUACUGGGCGUAAAGCGCACGCAGGCGGUCUGCUAAGUUUGGAGUGACAGUUGGUGGCUUAACUGCCAAAGUGCUUCGAAAACUGACAGACUUGAGGGCUUCAGAGGGACACGGAAUUCCGGGUGGAGUGGUGAAAUGCGUAGAGAUCGGAAAGAACACCAACGGCGAAAGCACUCUGCUGGGCCGACACUGACACUGAGAGACGAAAGCUAGGGGAGCGAAUGGG